rnacentral:rRNA from 1 species
CGGGCUAAACCCGCGUACAUGCCACCGGGGCAUCCCGGAGGCAGGAAAGGCUUCGGCCGGACAGGGAUGGGCAUGCGGCGCAUUAGGCAGUAGGCGGGGUAACGGCCCACCUAACCGACGAUGCGUAGGGGUUCUGAGAGGAAGGUCCCCCACACUGGUACUGAGGCACGGACCAGACUCCUACGGGAGGCAGCAGUGAGGAAUAUUGGUCAAUGGUCGGGAGACUGAACCAGCCAAGCCGCGUGAGGGAUGAAGGUACAGAGUAUCGUAAACCUCUUUUGUCAGGGAACAAAGGCGGGGACGUGUCCCCGGAUGAGUGUACCUGAAGAAAAAGCAUCGGCUAACUCCGUGCCAGCAGCCGCGGUAAUACGGAGGAUGCGAGCGUUAUCCGGAUUUAUUGGGUUUAAAGGGUGCGCAGGCGGUCUGUUAAGUCAGCGGUCAAAGCCCGGGGCUCAACCCCGGCCCGCCGUUGAAACUGGCAGUCUCGAGUUGGAGAGAAGUAUGCGGAAUGCGCGGUGUAGCGGUGAAAUGCAUAGAUAUCGCGCAGAACUCCGAUUGCGAAGGCAGCAUGCCGGCUCCACACUGACGCUGAGGCACGAAAGCGUGGGUAUCGAACAGGAUUAGAUACCCUGGUAGUCCACGCAGUAAACGA